GAUGAACGCUGGCGGCGUGCCUAAUACAUGCAAGUCGAGCGAACAGACGAGGAGCUUGCUCCUCUGACGUUAGCGGCGGACGGGUGAGUAACACGUGGAUAACCUACCUAUAAGACUGGGAUAACUUCGGGAAACCGGAGCUAAUACCGGAUAAUAUAUUGAACCGCAUGGUUCAAUAGUGAAAGACGGUUUUGCUGUCACUUAUAGAUGGAUCCGCGCCGCAUUAGCUAGUUGGUAAGGUAACGGCUUACCAAGGCAACGAUGCGUAGCCGACCUGAGAGGGGGAUCGGCCACACGGGAACGGAGACACGGUCCAGACUCCUACGGGAGGCAGCAGUAGGGAAUCUUCCGCAAUGGGCGAAAGCCUGACGGAGCAACGCGGCGUGAGGGAUGAAGGUCUUCGGAUCGUAAAACUCUGUUAUUAGGGAAGAACAAAUGUGGAAGUAACUAUGCACGUCUUGACGGUACCUAAUCAGAAAGCCACGGCUAACUACGUG
rnacentral:rRNA from 1 species